GACGUAGGUGGCAAGCGUUGUCCGGAACUAUUGGGCGUAAAGCGAGCGCAGGCGGCCUCUUAAGUCUGAUGGGAAAGCCCCCGGCUCAACCGCGGAGGGCCAUUGGAAACGGGGAGGCUUGAGUAUAGGAGAGAGGAGUGGAAUUCCACGUGUAGCGGUGAAAUGCGUAGAGAUGUGGAGGAACACCAGUGGCGAAGGCGACUCUUUGGCCUAUAACUGACGCUGAGGCGCGAAAGCGUGGGGAGCAACCAGG
rnacentral:misc_RNA from 1 species